AACCUAGACAUAUCUUUACAUAUAUGUCCGCCCGGGUACUACGAGCUACAGCUUAAAACCCAAAGGACUUGGCGGUGUCUCAGACCCACCUAGAGGAGCCUGUUCUAGAACCGAUAACCCCCGUUAAACCUCACCCCUUCUUGUUUUUCCGCCUAUAUACCGCCGUCGUCAGCUUACCCUGUGAAGGCCUAAUAGUAAGCAAAAUGGGUCCACCCAAAAACGUCAGGUCGAGGUGUAGCGCACGAAGGGGGAAGAAAUGGGCUACAUUUUCUAAAUAACAGAAUACUACGAAUGAGCACUCUGAAAUAUAGUGCCUGAAGGUGGAUUUAGUAGUAAAAAGCAAAUAGAGAGUCCUUUUGAAUUAGGCUCUGAGACGCGCACACACCGCCCGUCACUCUCCCCUUAUGCUAACAAAACUAAUAUUCAUAAUACCUUACUUAACAAUAAGGGGAGGCAAGUCGUAACAUGGUAAGUGUACCGGAAGGUGUACUUGGAAUAAU
rnacentral:rRNA from 1 species